CCGACGGGUGAGUAACACGUAUCCAACCUGCCGUCUACUCUUGGACAGCCUUCUGAAAGGAAGAUUAAUACAAGAUGGCAUCAUGAGUCCACAUGUUCACAUGAUUAAAGGGUAUUCCGGUAGACGAUGGGGAUGCGUUCCAUUAGAUAGUAGGCGGGGUAACGGCCCACCUAGUCUUCGAUGGAUAGGGGUUCUGAGAGGAAGGUCCCCCACAUUGGAACUGAGACACGGUCCAA
rnacentral:rRNA from 1 species